GUAGCGAAGAGGAUUAGAUACCCUCGUAGUCCAUGCCGUAAACGAUGUGUGUUAGACGUUGGAAAUUUAUUUUCAGUGUCGCAGUGAAAGCGAUAAACACACCGCCUGGGGAGUACGACCGCAAGGUUAAAACUCAAAUGAAUUGACGGGGACCCGCACAAGUAGUGGAGCAUGUGGUUUAAUUCGAAGAUACGCGCAGAACCUUACCAACACUUGACAUGUUCGUCGCGACUUUAAGAGAUUAAAGUUUUCGGUUCGGCCGGACGAAACACAGGUGCUGCAUGGCUGUCGUCAGCUCGUGUCGUGAGAUGUUGGGUUAAGUCCCGCAACGAGCGCAACCCUCACUUUUAGUUGCCAUCAUUAAGUUGGGCACUCUGAAAGAACUGCCAGUGAUAAGCUGGAGGAAGGUGGGGAUGACGUCAAGUCCUCAUGGCCCUUACGUGUUGGGCUACACACGUGCUACAAUGGUAUUUACAACAGGAAGCAAGACGGCGACGUUUAGCAAAUCCUUAAAAAAUACCUCAGUUCGGAUUGCACUCUGCAACUCGAGUGCAUGAAGCUGGAAUUACUAGUAAUCGUGGAUCAGCGUGCCACGGUGAAUGCGUUCCCGGGUCUUGUACACACCGCCCGUCACACCAUGGGAGUUGGUUCUACCUUAAGGCAAGGUUUUAAACCCUUGACCACGGUAUAGUCAGCGACUGGGGUGAAGUCGUAACAAGGUAGCCGUA
rnacentral:rRNA from 1 species